GACGAACGCUGGCGGCGUGCUUAACACAUGCAAGUCGAGCGGAAAGGCCACUUCGGUGGUACUCGAGCGGCGAACGGGUGAGUAACACGUGAGUAAUCUGCCCUUGGCUUCGGGAUAGCCACCGGAAACGGUGAUUAAUACCGGAUAUGACCACUUCCUGCAUGGGAUGGUGGUGGAAAGUUUUUCGGCCAGGGAUGUGCUCGCGGCCUAUCAGCUUGAUGGUGAGGUAAUGGCUCACCAUGGCUUCGACGGGUAGCCGGCCUGAGAGGGUGACCGGUCACACUGGGACUGAGACACGGCCCAGACUCCUACGGGAGGCAGCAGUGGGGAAUAUUGGACAAUGGGCGGAAGCCUGAUCCAGCAACGCCGCGUGAGGGAUGACGGCCUUCGGGUUGUAAACCUCUUUCACCCAUGACGAAGCGCAAGUGACGGUAGUGGGAGAAGAAGGACCGGCCAACUACGUGCCAGCCGCCGCGGUAACAC
rnacentral:rRNA from 1 species